rnacentral:tRNA from 2 species
GGAAGAUGUGCGCAAGGUGCGCAGCUGGCUUGCUAAGCCGGUACAGGUGAAAGCCUGAAGGUUCGAUUCCUUCUUCUUCCGC